rnacentral:rRNA from 1 species
ACUUAAAGGAAUUGGCGGGGGAGCACUACAACGGGUGGAGCCUGCGGUUUUAUUGGAUUCAACGCCGGAAACCUCACCGGGACCGACAGCGAUAUGAAGGCCAGGCUGAAGACCUUGCCGGAUUAGCUGAGAGGUGGUGCAUGGCCGUCGUCAGUUCGUACUGUGAAGCAUCCUGUUAAGUCAGGCAACGAGCGAGACCCACGCCCACAGUUGCCAGCGUACUCUCUGGAGUGACGGGUACACUGUGGGGACCGCUGCUGCUAAAGCGGAGGAAGGAAUGGGCAACGGUAGGUCAGUAUGCCCCGAAUAUCCCGGGCUACACGCGGGCUACAAUGGUUGGUACAAUGGGUAUCUACCCCGAAAGGGGAUGGAAAUCUCCUAAAGCCAAUCGUAGUUCGG